UAUAUCAUCAAAAUCAUGUCUAUGUGAUGUGACUUUGGACUUUGGGAGCUGCUGACUUCUAGUUGAAGCCAGCUCUUCUUAAUUACAUUAACAGAUUCUUUGUUGACCAUGAUCAGUGUGAUAGAUAUCUCACUAUGUCUAUGGGAAUGCACAUAUUCUGUUUCUAAUGCAAAUGCAAGUUUUCA
rnacentral:misc_RNA from 1 species